GGAGAGAUGUCCGAGUUGGCCGAAGGAGCACGCCUGGAAAGUGUGUAGCCCUCACAAGGGGCUCCAGGGUUCGAAUCCCUGUCUCUCCG
rnacentral:tRNA from 1 species